AUUUCCAGGCAGCGCGAACAUCACAUGGAACAGGGAGUACGUGCUCUCUGUUGCCCUAGAUGAGGGUCCUGGUGUUUGGAAGUGGCCUUCGAGGUGGGGUCGCAGGGCUGGUGAUGAUCCUAAGGCUGUGUCGCACCUCAUGCUCGCCAGGCACUGUCUGUGUGUGGGGCAGGAUGCUUGCGUCUUGCAUGAUGCCACGUAACCUUCCUGACGGCCCUAGGAGGGAGGUGCUAGCAUCAGGCCCUUUUCCAAAACUGAGGAAACGAAGGCUUUGAGAGCAUAGGUGACCUGCUAGUGAGGGGUCCAGCCAAGAUUUGAACCCAGACAGCUCAAGAGUCCACUUAAUCCUCAAACCCAUCUAUCGCAGGUUGAAUUGUGUGCCCUGUGUCCAGAGCUAGAUUGACUCUAGACCCCCAGCACCUGUGAAUGGGAAACUGGAAAUAAGGCUUUUGCAGCUGUAAUGAAAUUAUAGUGAGGCAGGGAGUUCCCAUUGUGGCUCAGCAGUAACGAACCGGACUCGCAUCCACGAAGAUGCGGGUUUGAUCCCUGGCCUUGCUCAGUGGAGUAAGGCUCCAGCAUUCCAUGAGCUAUGGUGUAGGUUGCAGACGUAGCUCGGACCCACGUUGCCAUGGCUGUGGUGUAGCCCAGCAGCUGCAGCUCCAGUGUGACCCCUAGCCUGGAAACUUCCAUAUGCUGCAGGAGCAGCUAUAAAAAGCCAAAAAGAAAAAAACAUUAAAGUAAGGUAGUUUAGCAAGAUGAAUAAACCGUAGAGAUCUGUAGCACCCUAUACCUGUGGUUCCCAAUGAUGUAGUUUAUGUAUAAAAAUGUGUUAAGAGAGUAGAUCUUAUGUGACAUGUCUUACUGCAAAAAAAAUUUAAAAAAAAUUUAAAUGACAUUAUCCUGGAUUAGAAUGGGACCGAUAUCCAUGGAUUGAUGUCUUUAUAAGAGAAGAGAGGAAAGUUUGAAGAUACACACACACACACACACACACACACACGCACGCACGCAACGCACAUACGCGCGCACCUGCACAUGCACACACCGAAGAAAGAAAUAAUACUGUACAUUGUUGGUGACCCUCAGAGGCUGGACGCAGCAAAGGACUCCCCCUGACAGCCUUUGGAAGGAUCACAGCCCUGUGGACACCUUGCUUUUGAACUUCUGGCCUCCGGGACAGUGAGAGAAUACCUUUCUGAUGUGCCACCCAGUUUGUGACACUUUGUGACAGCAGAACUGGAAAACUGAUACUGCAUCCCUUCUCAGCUUACCAAAGGGCAUCUGAAGGGGAGCCUUUAAGCAAAUUAAACAACUGCCCCAGGCAGGAGCCAGGCAGCCAAAUGGCUCACCUGGGGGCCUCAGGUGACAGAGGCACCCACUGCCCCCCUUUAAUGGGCCAGAAUGGUGUUCACAUUUCCCAGCCCAUUGGCAGUGACAUAGAGGGAGGAGCCAAGGCUGCAAUCACAACGAUAUACAGCUCAAGGCCAGUGCAAUGAUUAGCUGCCCACAGGAACAGUGCAACGUGCAUGAUAUUUGCCUGCCCAGGAAAGCCAAGUGCAAGUUCCUGCCCGCUCUCAUGACCCGGUUCCGCCAGCGCGGGAAGGGACAGGCCCCUCCAGCUCCUGCCCUCUGCUGCCACCAGGAUUUAACUCCUUCCUGUCCCCCAGGCUGUUGGACAUCGCACACAACUGUUCCAACGUGCAUUCAAGGGGGGUCAGUCUCUUUGAUGGGGCCCUGCCUUUUCUGGAGCUUUCCAACAAUCAAUGGAAGCAUGAUUCAUAGAAGUGCACAUGGCCCAUUUUU
rnacentral:lncRNA from 1 species